UACGUAGGUGGCGAGCGUUGUCCGGAUUUACUGGGCGUAAAGGGCGUGCAGGCGGUUUGUUAAGUGCAGGGUGAAAGCUCCCGGCUCAACUGGGAGAGGUCCUUGCAUACUGGCGAACUCGAGGGAGGCAGAGGAAAGUGGAAUUCCCGGUGUAGUGGUGAUAUGCGUAGAUAUCGGGAGGAACACCGGUGGCGAAGGCGGUUCUCUGGGCCUUACCUGACGCUGAGGAGCGAAAGCGUGGGGAGCGAACAGG
rnacentral:rRNA from 1 species